GACUAAUUUGGUUCCUUGUUGCCUGGACAUCUUAAAGUUGAUUUUGGUGAUGCAGUUGCCCUUUAGAAAAUCUUUAAAGAGCACCGUGACUGAAUAGCUGGGUUUUUGUUUGAGCCUAUUCAAGGAGAGGCAGGGGUAUGUAUGAUUGGACAUAAAUCUUUUUACACUACUGAUGGUUGAUUUUCUUUUUAUACCCAUUGUUUGGGUUAUAAUGAGUUUAUUUCUACUUUUAAUCCAUCCUUAUUGGACUUCAAUGAAAUUGCAAGUUUGUUUGCACAAACGAGUUUCUAUAUCCAGAUUCAUGGCAAUUUGAGAGAGUCCGCCACUGCAAUGUUGGUAUUUUUCUUUUACAUGUUCUCCUUUUACAAAAUUUCAAAUUGUAAUGUUACAAGAGAACAACUUUCACUUGUUGGUGAUAUUUCCAUAGUUCAAGUUAUGUACUUUUUCUUGUGUAUAAAAGUGAAGGUAGAAAACAUGAUUAUUGAAAA